rnacentral:rRNA from 1 species
ACUCCUACGGGAGGCAGCAGUGGGGAAUAUUGCACAAUGGGCGCAAGCCUGAUGCAGCGACGCCGCGUGAGGGAUGACGGCCUUCGGGUUGUAAACCUCUUUCAGUAGGGACGAAGCGCAAGUGACGGUACCUAUAGAAAAGGACCGGCCAACUACGUGCCAGCAGCCGCGGUAAUACGUAGGGUCCGAGCGUUGUCCGGAAUUACUGGGCGUAAAGAGCUCGUAGGUGGUUUGUCGCGUUGUUCGUGAAAACUCACAGCUCAACUGUGGGCGUGCGGUCGAUACGGGCAGACUGGAGUACUGCAGGGGAGACUGGAAUUCCUGGUGUAGCGGUGGAAUGCGCAGAUAUCAGGAGGAACACCGGUGGCGAAGGCGGAUCUCUGGGCAGUAACUGACGCUGAGGAGCGAAAGCGUGGGGAGCGAACAGGAUUAGAUACCCUGGUAGUCCACGCCGUAAACGGUGGGUACUAGGUGUGGGUUUCCUUCCUUGGGAUCCGUGCCGUAGCUAACGCAUUAAGUACCCCGCCUGGGGAGUACGGCCGCAAGGCUAAAACUCAAAGAAAUUGACGGGGGCCCGCACAAGCGGCGGAGCAUGUGGAUUAAUUCGAUGCAACGCGAAGAACCUUACCUGGGUUUGACAUGCACAGGACGUGCCUAGAGAUAGGUAUUCCUUGUGGCCUGUNUGCAGGUGGUGCAUGGCUGUCGUCAGCUCGUGUCGUGAGAUGUUGGGUUAAGUCCCGCAACGAGCGCAACCCNUAUNUUAUGUUGCCAGCGCGUUAUGGCGGGGACUCGUAAGAGACUGCCGGGGUCAACUCGGA